AGGUGCGUUGGUUGUUCUUUUAGAAAAUUAAGAAAUCGUUUUGGCUUUUCGUGUUGUCUACUUGGUUUUCUAGCCUCUUUUAUCGUUGGAACAAUCACAGAUUUAAUAAACUCAAUUUUUUUUUAUGUUUGAUAUAUGUAACAUACUAGAAAUAGGAUUGGUUCUUUACUUUUUUCAUUUCCAACCAUACUUUGAUAAAAACAAAACCAUUCAUUGAUUGAUAAACUAAUUUAGUGGAAAAUAAUAAAAAGAAAAAUCUCAAAAAUCUAGAGAUUCUUUUACUUAUGUACGUCACUUCCACAAUUUAAAA